CUUUAGUGGCGAACGGGUGAGUAACGCGUAAGCAAUCUGCCCCUAAGACGAGGAUAACAGUUGGAAACGACUGCUAAGACUGGAUAGGAGACAAGAAGGCAUCUUUUUGUUUUUAAAAGACCUAGCAAUAGGUAUGCUUAGGGAGGAGCUUGCGUCACAUUAGUUAGUUGGUGGGGUAAAGGCCUACCAAGACUAUGAUGUGUAGCCGGGCUGAGAGGUUGAACGGCCACAUUGGGACUGAGACACGGCCCAAACUCCUACGGGAGGCAGCAGUAGGGAAUUUUCGGCAAUGGAGGAAACUCUGACCGAGCAACGCCGCGUGAACGAUGAAGUAUUUCGGUACGUAAAGUUCUUUUAUUAGGGAAGAAUAAAUGAUGGAAAAAUCAUUCUGACGGUACCUAAUGAAUAAGCCCCGGCUAACUAUGUGCCAGCAGCCGCGGUAAUACAUAGGGGGCAAGCGUUAUCCGGAAUUAUUGGGCGUAAAGGGUGCGUAGGCGGUUAAAUAAGUUUAUGGUCUAAGUGCAAUGCUUAACAUUGUGAUGCUAUAAAAACUGUUUAGCUAGAGUAAGAUAGAGGCAAGUGGAAUUCCAUGUGUAGUGGUAAAAUGCGUAAAUAUAUGGAGGAACACCAGUAGCGAAGGCGGCUUGCUGGGUCUUUACUGACGCUGAGGCACGAAAGCGUGGGGAGCAAACAGGAUUAGAUACCCUGGUAGUCCACGCCGUAAACGAUGAGUACUAAAUGUUGGGUAAAACCAGUGUUGAAGUUAACACAUUAAGUACUCCGCCUGAGUAGUACGUACGCAAGUAUGAAACUUAAAGGAAUUGACGGGACUCCGCACAAGCGGUGGAUCAUGUUGUUUAAUUCGAAGGUACCCGAAAAACCUCACCAGGUCUUGACAUGCUUCUGCAAAGCUGUAGAAACACAGUGGAGGUUAUCAGUUGCACAGGUGGUGCAUGGUUGUCGUCAGCUCGUGUCGUGAGAUGUUGGGUUAAGUCCCGCAACGAGCGCAACCCUUAUUGUUAGUUGCCAGCACGUAAUGGUGGGGACUUUAGCAAGACUGCCAGUGAUAAAUUGGAGGAAGGUGGGGACGACGUCAAAUCAUCAUGCCCCUUAUGACCUGGGCUACAAACGUGAUACAAUGGCUGUUACAAAGGGUAGCUGAAACGUAAGUUUUUGGCGAAUCUCAAAAAAACAGUCUCAGUUCGGAUUGAAGUCUGCAACUCGACUUCAUGAAGUUGGAAUCGCUAGUAAUCGCGAAUCAGCAUGUCGCGGUGAAUACGUUCUCGGGGUU
rnacentral:rRNA from 1 species